rnacentral:rRNA from 1 species
GUGGGGAAUAUUGGACAAUGGGCGAAAGCCUGAUCCAGCCAUGCCGCGUGUGUGAAGAAGGUCUUCGGAUUGUAAAGCACUUUAAGUUGGGAGGAAGGGCAGUAAGUUAAUACCUUGCUGUUUUGACGUUACCGACAGAAUAAGCACCGGCUAACUUCGUGCCAGCAGCCGCGGUAAUACGAAGGGUGCAAGCGUUAAUCGGAAUUACUGGGCGUAAAGCGUGCGCAGGCGGUUUUGUAAGACAGGCGUGAAAUCCCCGGGCUCAACCUGGGAACUGCCUCCAAAACUGCAUGACUAGAGUACGGUAGAGGGUAGUGGAAUUUCCUGUGUAGCGGUGAAAUGCGUAGAUAUAGGAAGGAACACCAGUGGCGAAGGCGACUACCUGGACUGAUACUGACACUGAGGUGCGAAAGCGUGGGGAGCAAACAGGAUUAGAAACCCGUGUAGUCC